rnacentral:rRNA from 1 species
CCUGCCCAAUGAUCUUAAACUUAAAAAAUAUAACUAUUUUUAAAAAGAUUUAAAGGACGCAGUAUCCUGACUGUGAUAAUGUAGCAUAAUCAUUCGCCAUUUAAUUGAUGGAUAGUAUGAAUGGUUGAACGAAUUCUUCACUGUCUUAAAAAAAGAAAUAAUGAAAUUUAAAUAAUAGUAAAGAUGCUAUUUAAAAUUGUAAGACGAAAAGACCCUAUAGAGCUUAACUAUAAGUUCUUUUAGUUAAAAGAAAAUAAUUCUCAAAAUAAAGAACUUGGUAGUUUAGUUGGGGCGACUAUCUUCUAAUAUUAACGAAGACAAGCAAAAUUAAUAUAUAAUUUAUUGUAUAACCUAUAAGUUUAACAAUUACAAAAGUAGGCAUAAUGACCCGUUUUCAUUUAGUAAUUAAAGAAAACGAUCAAUAAAUAAAAGCUACCUUAGGGAUAACAGGAUAAUUUUGUUUUAGAGAUCCUAUCGAAAACAAAGUUUGUCACCUCUAUGUUGAAUUAAGAUAUCCUAGUAAUGCAGAA